ACGCACGCUGGCGGCAUGCCUAACCCAUGCAAGUCGAACGAGACCUUCGGGUCUAGUGGCGCACGGGUGCGUCACGCGUGGGAACCUGCCCUUAGGUUCGGAAUAACUCCCCGAAAGGGGUGCUAAUACCGGAUAAUGUCUUCGGACCAAAGAUUUAUCGCCUUUGGAUGGGCCCGCGUUGGAUUAGCUAGUUGGUAGGGUAAAAGCCUACCAAGGCGACGAUCCAUAGCUGGUCUGAGAGGAUGAUCAGCCACACUGGGACUGAGACACGGCCCAGACUCCUACGGGAGGCAGCAGUGGGGAAUAUUGGACAAUGGGCGAAAGCCUGAUCCAGCAAUGCCGCGUGAGUGAUGAAGGCCUUAGGGUUGUAAAGCUCUUUUACCCGGGAUGAUAAUGACAGUACCGGGAGAAUAAGCUCCGGCUAGCUCCGUG
rnacentral:rRNA from 1 species